rnacentral:rRNA from 1 species
GACGAACGCUGGCGGCGUGCCUAAUACAUGCAAGUAGAACGCAGUUGCGAACGGGUGAGUAACGCGUAGGUAACUGCCUGGUAGCGGGGGAUAACAAUUGGAAACGAUAGCUAAUAACGCAUACUACCAGACGGACCUGCGUUGUAUUAGCUAGUUGGUGGGGUAACGGCUCACCAAGGCAACGAUAAAUAGCCGACCUGAGAGGGUGAACGGCCACACUGGGACUGGGACACGGCCCAGACUCCUACGGGAGGCAGCAGUAGGGAAUCUUCGGCAAUGGGGGGAAGCCUGACCGAGCAACGCCGCGUGAGUGAGGAAGGUUUUCGGGUCGUAAAGCUCUGUUGUUAAGGAAGCGGUACCUAACCAGAAAGGGACGGCUAACUACGUGCCAGCAGCCGCGGUAAUAC